rnacentral:rRNA from 1 species
UGGGGAAUAUUGCACAAUGGGCGAAAGCCUGAUGCAGGGAUGCCGCGUGAGGGAUGACGGCCUUCGGGUUGUAAACCUCUUUCAGCAGGGAAGAAGCGAAAGUGACGGUACCUGCAGAAGAAGCGCCGGCUAACUACGUGCCAGCAGCCGCGGUAAUACGUAGGGCGCAAGCGUUGUCCGGAAUUAUUGGGCGUAAAGAGCUCGUAGGCGGCUUGUCACGUCGGGUGUGAAAGCCCGGGGCUUAACCCCGGGUCUGCAUUCGAUACGGGCUAGCUAGAGUGUGGUAGGGGAGAUCGGAAUUCCUGGUGUAGCGGUGAAAUGCGCAGAUAUCAGGAGGAACACCGGUGGCGAAGGCGGAUCUCUGGGCCAUUACUGACGCUGAGGAGCGAAAGCGUGGGGAGCGAACAGGAUUAGAUACCCUGGUAGUCCACGCCGUAAACGGUGGGCACUAGGUGUUGGCGACAUUCCACGUCGUCGGUGCCGCAGCUAACGCAUUAAGUGGGCCCCGCCUGGGGAGUACGGCCGCAAGGCUA